CACGUAGGGCGCAAGCGUUGUCCGGAAUUAUUGGGCGUAAAGAGCUCGUAGGCGGUCUGUUGCGUCCGCUGUGAAAACUCGGGGCUUAACCCCGAGCCUGCAGUGGAUACGGGCAGACUAGAGGUAGGUAGGGGAGAAUGGAAUUCCCGGUGUAGCGGUGAAAUGCGCAGAUAUCGGGAGGAACACCGGUGGCGAAGGCGGCUUCCUGGACCAGUACCGACGUUCAGGCACGAAAGCGUGGGGAGCAAACAGG
rnacentral:rRNA from 1 species